AGUGAACGCUGGCGGUAGGCCUAACACAUGCAAGUCGAACGGCAGCACAGGAGAGCUUGCUCUCUGGGUGGCGAGUGGCGGACGGGUGAGGAAUACAUCGGAAUCUACUCUGUCGUGGGGGAUAACGUAGGGAAACUUACGCUAAUACCGCAUACGACCUACGGGUGAAAGCAGGGGACCUUCGGGCCUUGCGCGAUUGAAUGAGCCGAUGUCGGAUUAGCUAGUUGGCGGGGUAAAGGCCCACCAAGGCGACGAUCCGUAGCUGGUCUGAGAGGAUGACCGGCCACACUGUAACUGAGACACGGUCCAGACGCCUACGGGAGGCAGCAGGGGGGAAUAGUGGACAAUGGCCGCAAGCCUGAUCCAGCCAUACCGCGUGGGUAAAGAAGGCCUUCGUGUUGUAAAGCCCUUUUGUUGGGAAAUAAAUCCAGCUGGCUAAUACCCGGUUGGGAUGACGGUACCCAAAGAAUAAGCACCGGCUAACUUCGUGCCAGCAGCCGCCGUAA
rnacentral:rRNA from 1 species